rnacentral:lncRNA from 1 species
GAACAGUAUCAUUAAGUACUGUACCGAUUAAAGAAUCAGAGGCUUGAUCAAAGUUGACCAGCAUGUCGGCCAUAAUCGACUCCCCAAACAAUAGGUAGCCAAAGAAUCCCACAGCAAAGUAAAUGGUAACACAUAAUAUUAAAGAAAUGCGAACAGCCGAUGUCAUGUCAGAUGGCCUUCCCAUCUCUGCUCUUACCGGAUGAACUGCAAACGAAAAUAACCACUUGAAGUGAACAGAUAAAAAUGUAAAGGGCGCACCCUUAGAGAAUAAUUCAUCACAGGAAACACCAGCAUGAGAUGAAUGGCAUAACUCAAUCGAACAGUAUCGUUAAGUACUGUACCGACUAAAGAGGCAGAGGCUUGAUCAAAGUUGACCAGCAUGUCAGCCAUGAUCGAGUCCCCAAACAAUAGGUAGCCAAAGAAUCCCACAGCAAAGUAAAUGGCAACACAUAAUAUCAAAGAAAUGCGAACUGCUGACGUCAUAUCAGACGGCCUUCCCAUCUCUGCCCUUACUGGAUGAACUGCAAAGGAAAAUAACCACUUAAAGUGAACACAUAAAAAUGUAAAAGGGUGAAAUAACAAAGAACGACAGAUGUCACCUAAAAGAUUGACUGCUAUCCUAAC